AAAGACACCACACACACGACCCUUUCUUUCCCCUUCCCCAACUCCAGCACCUUAAAGAAAACAGCCGUCUUAAACCUCUUGAUUAGCAAACUACCUUCUUGCCUCGCUAAUUGUUUCAUUUAGCUACAGCGAACCACCACGAGGGAGGAAAUCCUUGGCAUUUGUUAGGAGGACUCAGCUGCACAAUCAUUCUCUGGCCUCGCAGUAGCGGUAGCUACUCCAUUUUGUUGGGAGACAUUUUUUUUUUAAUUAUAUAUAUAAUAUCACCGGUUUUUAAAAGCACAAGAGGAUUUCUUGGCUUCUCAAUGCUUCAGGUCUCAACAGGAGCAUGAGAAUUUCUCUGCAGAGUGGAGAAAUGCUUCUAGUUGGAUUUGAGGUUGAUUAUGUGACCGCUCUGGCAAAAGCACUUUGACAACUGUAAGGAGAGAGGGCAUGCGCACACAGGGAACUGUGGGGGCUGAAGUCCUUCACAAGGUACUCUGCCUGACUUCAGCACGUUCAACCAGGAAAGGAGGAAGCCUCGAAGAGAUUCCAAGGGGAAGAGGUUGUUCCCGGAUUACAUUAUAUCCUCCUAACCAAUCUAAAUCAUGAAUUGUUGAAAUGAAAGGCAGAAAGAUAAACUGGUUUAUCAACUUGAUUUAGGAAGUCAGGUUAAAAGAGAAACUGAAUUGUAGGACUCAAAAUAAAUAUACCCAGCAGAGCUACCUUAAAUGGUAUUAGAAUACUAAUGACUGGGUAGCCAGCAAUAGGCACCCUACCAGAGUAAAAGAGACUGGGGUGAGCAGGAAUAAACAAGGGUGCGGGGGAUGACUGGGGAAUGAUGAACACUCAAAAUCUAAUCAUACUUAAAGGAAACACUUUUAAUAUAGAAUGAAAAGUACCUUAAUACAAAAUGUGAUAUUAACCUCAGAGGUCAGGUAAAAAAAGAUUUUCAUCACAAAUUUUUGAUAUCCACCAACGUUUCUUUGUAUUUGAAUUUUCAAGGGAGGCACCAAUCACUUACUUAUUUUAAGAUUUUUACAUAAUAUGCUCUAAAUCAACUCACCUCCUUAUUUUUACUUGUCAAAAUGAAAGCUUACUUUGCAUUAUUCAUACAAUGAUUAAUCAAAUAAAAUUCAGUAUUUUCAUACUAAAAUAAUG